rnacentral:rRNA from 1 species
CCUACGGGAGGCAGCAGUAGGGAAUAUUGCUCAAUGGGGGAAACCCUGAAGCAGCAACGCCGCGUGGAGGAUGAAGGCUUUAGGAUUGUAAACUCCUUUUGUUAGAGAAGAUUAUGACGGUAUCUAACGAAUAAGCACCGGCUAAUGCCGUGCCAGCAGCCGCGGUAAUACGGAGGGUGCAAGCGUUAGUCGGAAUCACUGGGCGUAAAGAGUGCGUAGGCGGGGUAAUAAGUCAGAUGUGAAAUCCAGUGGUUUAACUACAGAACUGCAUUGGAUACUGUUACUCUGGAGUGUGGGAGAGGUAGGUGGAAUUCUUGGUGUAGGGGUGAAAUCCGUAGAGAUCAAGAAGAAUACUCAUUGCGAAGGCGGCCUGCUGGAACAUUACUGACGCUGAUGCACGAAAGCGUGGGGAGCAAACAGGAUUAGAUACCCGGGUAGUC